UGGAGAAUAUUGCGCAAUGGGGGGAACCCUGACGCAGCCAUGCCGCGUGAAUGAAGAAGGCCUUAGGGUUGUAAAGUUCUUUCGGUAUUGAGGAAGGUUGAUGUGUUAAUAGCACAUCAAAUUGACGUUAAAUACAGAAGAAGCACCGGCUAACUCCGUGCCAGCAGCCGCGGUAAUACGGAGGGUGCGAGCGUUAAUCGGAAUAACUGGGCGUAAAGGGCACGCAGGCGGUUAUUUAAGUGAGGUGUGAAAGCCCUGGGCUUAACCUAGGAAUUGCAUUUCAGACUGGGUAACUAGAGUACUUUAGGGAGGGGUAGAAUUCCACGUGUAGCGGUGAAAUGCGUAGAGAUGUGGAGGAAUACCGAAGGCGAAGGCAGCCCCUUGGGAAUGUACUGACGCUCAUGUGCGAAAGCGUGGGGAGCAAACAGGAUUAGAUACCCUGGUAGUCCACGCUGUAAACGCUGUCGAUUUGGGGGUUGGGGUUUAACUCUGGCGCCCGUAGCUAACGUGAUAAAUCGACCGCCUGGGGAGUACGGCCGCAAGGUUA
rnacentral:rRNA from 1 species